CCCUGGCGCUUUGAUGUGCUUACUGGUUGCGUGACGCACGCGCGGGAAUCGAGGUGCGUUGCUCACUACGGGACGCGGAAGCGCCUCGCAGAAAACGUGUCGAUUUCUGAAAUUUCUGUCGAUUUCUGAAUUUUCAAAGCCAUUGUUCGAUUUUCUUGAUUAUUUUGCUUUAUUCACGACGGAAUCAUGGACGAGAUCAGUGAAUCUCUUCACAAUAUUUCCUUUGAAGGUAAAUUUGUAUGAAUUUGUCUCAUUAUAUAUUUUAAUAUGAUUUAUUGUCUUGUUGACUGCUAUAAUUUUAUAAUUUUAAUAUUAUGUGAACCAAAUAUUUAUAUGAAAAUCAUUCUGAUCAACGUGUUCGUAGGGUUUUAAGGCUGCGUAUGAUUUCGGAGUCCUUUAUACUGUACACUUAUAUUUAUUUAGUAUUAGUAAAUUUUCCCUGACAAAUUUUGAGUGAUAUCUUUGCCAGGUUCUUUGUAGCAGUUAUUUAUAAUUACUGUGUAGUUGUAUUAUUAAAUUGUCAAUUCAUGACAGACAAGCUCUGACAGACAAGUGAAAAAAAGGUUUUGCCAUGCCAAAGAUAUCAGAUUCAAACCAUUCAAUACCCAUUGCAAUCAAGCAAUUACCAUAAACAUAUAAUCCCACCAUCCAUAUUUACUUGGGCGAUUCCGAAUAUAAGCCACCUCUAAUGUAAGCCCCUUGACAGGUAUUUAUUAAUGCAGCAAGGGCCAGGAAUCCAACAGCUCAGUACAUCAAAAAUGCUUACAAAGUACAGUACAAAGAAAUAUAAGCCCAGGGCUUAUAUUCAGAGGUUUACAAUAUUCAUCUGGCCAAACAUAGUUCUAUAAAUCCCACAGUCAUUAGAGUUGUAGUUCUAAAAGUAUUUGUAGGAAUAAAAGGUGUACAGUACAUGUAUCAGCCACCUUGGCAUUGACCAAAAUUAUGCCCUGACAAUUAAACAAUUUUAAAUUGAUUGAUGACAUGUUUGAAAGCAGCUUCAGUGGUGGUGUCCCCAGUAUUGGAGUAGAGCCCAACAUUUCAGUUAGACAUUAUUUGUGAACCUUAGAUCAGUUGUGAUAUAUUGUAAUGUAAAAUGAAACUUUGGGAGUUAAGAAACACAAUUAAUGCAUUAAUGGACAAGGCUGUCCCCUUGAGAAGUAAAAUUGCCUGCCAUUAGAUGGUCUGAAAGUAAAAUAACAAGCUUGGGUGCAUGGCAGCCUAAUGGGUUAACUUAA